CCUACGGGGGGCUGCAGUGAGGAAUAUUGGUCAAUGGACGCAAGUCUGAACCAGCCAUGCCGCGUGCAGGAUGACGGCUCUAUGAGUUGUAAACUGCUUUUGUACGAGGGUAAACCCCGAUACGUGUAUCGGGUUGAAAGUAUCGUACGAAUAAGGAUCGGCUAACUCCGUGCCAGCAGCCGCGGUAAUACGGAGGAUCCGAGCGUUAUCCGGAUUUAUUGGGUUUAAAGGGUGCGUAGGCGGUUUGAUAAGUUAGAGGUGAAAUGUCGGGGCUCAACCCCGAAACUGCCUCUAAUACUGUUAGACUAGAGAAUAGUUGCGGUAGGCGGAAUGUAUGGUGUAGCGGUGAAAUGCUUAGAGAUCAUACAGAACACCAAUUGCGAAGGCAGCUUACCAAACUAUAUCUGACGUUGAGGCACGAAAGUGUGGGUAGCAAACAGGAUUAGAUACCCCAGUAGUC
rnacentral:rRNA from 1 species